GCGGGCGUAGCUCAGUUGGUAGAGCGCCUCCUUGCCAAGGAGGAGGUCGCGAGUUCGAGUCUCGUCGCCCGCUCCA
rnacentral:tRNA from 1 species